GCAGACACAUUCCAGUCAAUCAGCAGCAGACCCUCCCUCCCAGACCCUCCCACCUCCUGGACAGCAUCCAUUUUACAUUCAUUGUGAAGCUGCAUUCUUAGUGAGCUGUCCAGGAGGUGGGAGGGUCUGGGAGGGAGGGUCUGCUGCUGAUUGGCUGGAAUGUGUCUG